GGGCGGGACACGUGGUAUCCUGUCUGAAUAUGGGGGGACCAUCCUCCAAGGCUAAAUACUCCUGACUGACCGAUAGUGAACCAGUACCGUGAGGGAAAGGCGAAAAGAACCCCGGCGAGGGGAGUGAAAAAGAACCUGAAACCGUGUACGUACAAGCAGUGGGAGCACGCUUAGGCGUGUGACUGCGUACCUUUUGUAUAAUGGGUCAGCGACUUAUAUUCUGUAGCAAGGUUAACCGAAUAGGGGAGCCGAAGGGAAACCGAGUCUUAACUGGGCGUUAAGUUGCAGGGUAUAGACCCGAAACCCGGUGAUCUAGCCAUGGGCAGGUUGAAGGUUGGGUAACACUAACUGGAGGACCGAACCGACUAAUGUUGAAAAAUUAGCGGAUGACUUGUGGCUGGGGGUGAAAGGCCAAUCAAACCGGGAGAUAGCUGGUUCUCCCCGAAAGCUAUUUAGGUAGCGCCUCGUGAAUUCAUCUCCGGGGGUAGAGCACUGUUUCGGCAAGGGGGUCAUCCCGACUUACCAACCCGAUGCAAACUGCGAAUACCGGAGAAUGUUAUCACGGGAGACACACGGCGGGUGCUAACGUCCGUCGUGAAGAGGGAAACAACCCAGACCGCCAGCUAAGGUCCCAAAGUCAUGGUUAAGUGGGAAACGAUGUGGGAAGGCCCAGACAGCCAGGAUGUUGGCUUAGAAGCAGCCAUCAUUUAAAGAAAGCGUAAUAGCUCACUGGUCGAGUCGGCCUGCGCGGAAGAUGUAACGGGGCUAAACCAUGCACCGAAGCUGCGGCAGCGACACUAUGUGUUGUUGGGUA
rnacentral:rRNA from 1 species